rnacentral:lncRNA from 1 species
GUCUGGUUAGGAUACUGUGGCUGGCCCUGCUGCCACUGGACCCUUGACCCUGCUGCUUUAUGCUUGAAAAAUUUUGAAGUUCGGGCUUAUGGACAACAGUUGCAGUUAUAGCAGCCUCAGGACAGUUUAUUUCUUGUUCCUCUGUUUGGUGGUAUUCUAUCCAGAAAAUCCUAAUCCCUGCAGAGAAAUAGAUACAAAUAGGAGUGGUUUUUAAAUGGUUCACCUUGAAAUCUCCAGCAUGAGCUUUGAUUACAAAGAUGGCAGGAGGAGAUCAAUUCUGAGAUCUAUAGGGAAAUGAUUAAUCUCGAAUUAAUGCAUGGGCACUUUGCAAUAUGUUGAAUUUGGGCGUUAUAUCUCUUUUAGCAAUAUAUAAAUUUUUAAAAUAAAAUUUGCAUCAAACAUUUGUGGAACCUCUGAAGUAUGUCUGAGAAACCCUGGGUUCUGUGGCAUAUAAGGUAAAAAGCACUGAUAAAGAGAACCAGAUUUCUAGAUAGGUUUCACUGCAAUCCCUCACGAAGGCUUAGGGAACUGAAGGAUUUCUGUUGGAAGAUUUUCUCCUGGGAAACCUCCUCAGCGAUGAGGGUUUCCCUAACCCAAAGCUCUUUGACUAUCUCCCUCUGUUUUCUGUGCUCAGGAAAUCCCUCCAAGGAGAGCUGAUAGAUGGUGGACCACACCCAGCUAUUCAAGAGUGUUUGAAUGAAGUACUACCCUAACCUAAAGAUACAGAGCGGGAGAACAGGACUUCUAGAUAUCUCUUCUGAAUUUCAGAUUAUAAGUCUGCAGACUGGGAAGUCCAAGAUCAAGGUGCCAGCUGACUGGGUUCCUGGUGAGAGUUCUCCUCCUGGCUUGGUGCUCCUUCUUGCUGUAUCCUCCCAUGGCAGAGAGAGCCAGCUCUGGUGUCUGUCUCUUCCUCUUCUGAUAAGGGCACCAGCCCUGUGGGAUUAGGGUCCCACCCAAAUGACCCCAUAUAACCUUUAUCUCCUCCUCACAGAUCCUGCCUCCAAAUACAAUCACAUUGGGUAUUAGGGCUUCAACAUAUGAAUUUUGAGGCGGGUACAAACAUUCAGUCCAUAACAACACCCAACAGAAAUUGUGUGCGUAUGUUCUCCAAAAGACGUGUACUAGAAUAUUCAUGGCCACACUAUUCAUGUUUGUAAUAUUCGACCUGGAAAUUACUGAAAUGCCUACCAAUAGCAGAGCAGACAGACAAGCUGUAGCAGAUUCACAUGGUGGAAUACUAUACGGCAAUGAGAAGGAAUGCUCUGCAAUCACGCACAACAUGCGUGAAUCUCCUAGACAUAAGAAAGAGUGAAAGAAGCCAGACACUAAAGUACGUACUAUAUGAUUUCAUUUAUAUAAAGUAUAAAAACUGGCCCAAACUCAUCUAUGUUGUUAGAAGGCAGGAUAGCGGUCACCCUUAGCUGGGAGGGGGGUGGUGGAGAAGGGCAGCCACUAACUAGAAGGAGUGUGAGGGGGCUUCGGGGCACUGCGAUUCUUCUCUCUUUUAUUCUUUUAUUUCUGUAGCUCUUUUUUUAAGACUUUAUUUUUUUUAGCGUAGUUUUAGGCUCAUGGCAAAAUUAAGAGGAAGGUACAGAGAUUUCUCAUGUAUCCCCCGCCCGCCACAUGCAUCACCUCCCCCAUUAUCAGCAUCCCUCACGAGAGUGGUACAUUUGUUAUAAUUGAUGAACCCAGGAAUUAUUCUCUUUCUUGAUCUGGAUCCUAGUUAAAUGGGUGUAUUCAGUUUAUGAAGAUUCUUUUAACUGAACACAUCUGAAAUGUGCA